rnacentral:misc_RNA from 1 species
AGCAAAAGUGAAGUGACAUAUGGGUCCAGCAAUUUAGGACACUUAAGGCAAGGCAACUUUAACAGGGCAUUUGCUUUAACCGCUUAAGCACAUGCCUCUUUUGAAGUGCAAGGCGCAAGAGCAUGCCCCUUUAAAAUUCAUUUCUUUCUUCUAUAUUUGUGAUGGGUAUUUUGGCUUUGCUCUUUAGUUUAAAAAGGUAAUGUUAAAAAGCCCAUGAUAUUCAACAUUGCACAAAAUAUUAUUAAAAAAAUAAAUACGUUAGGCUGCUAGAAUUUG